rnacentral:rRNA from 1 species
UACGUAGGGUGCAAGCGUUAAUCGGAAUUACUGGGCGUAAAGCGCGCGUAGGCGGCUUUGUAAGUUAGAGGUGAAAGCCCGGGGCUCAACCCCGGAACUGCCUUUAAGACUGCAUCGCUUGAAUCCAGGAGAGGUGAGUGGAAUUCCGAGUGUAGAGGUGAAAUUCGUAGAUAUUCGGAAGAACACCAGUGGCGAAGGCGGCUCACUGGCCUGGUAUUGACGCUGAGGUGCGAAAGCGUGGGGAGCAAACAGG